GAUGAACGCUAGCGGCAGGCCUAAUACAUGCAAGUCGAACGGGAUCCAGAUCAAAGCUUGCUUUGGUCUGGUGAGAGUGGCGCACGGGUGCGUAACGCGUGAGCAACCUACCCUUGUCAGGGGGAUAGCCCGGCGAAAGUCGGAUUAAUACCGCAUGACAUCAUUGAGAGGCAUCUUUCGAUGAUCAAAGAUUUAUCGGACAAGGAUGAGCUCGCGUGACAUUAGCUAGUUGGUAAGGUAACGGCUUACCAAGGCUGCGAUGUCUAGGGGCUCUGAGAGGAGAAUCCCCCACACUGGUACUGAGACACGGACCAGACUCCUACGGGAGGCAGCAGUAAGGAAUAUUGGUCAAUGGACGGAAGUCUGAACCAGCCAUGCCGCGUGCAGGAGGACGGCCCUAUGGGUUGUAAACUGCUUUUAUACGGGAACAAACGUCGGUACGUGUACCGGUCUGAGUGUACCGUAAGAAUAAGGAUCGGCUAACUCCGUG
rnacentral:rRNA from 1 species